GCGGGAAUAGCUCAGUUAUAGAGCACGACUCGUUAAGGUCGCAGUCGCGAGUUCGAGUCUCGUUUCCUGCC
rnacentral:tRNA from 1 species